rnacentral:lncRNA from 1 species
CUUCGACCCCUCACACUCUCUCUAUCUACUUGCAUGUCGCCGAUUCUUCUUUGGCAUGGUGAAGAUGCUGGUUUUGCUGCUGUUGCCCUUCUCCGCUCUCAAUUCCGUUCACUUCAUUUCCUCUCUGCUGCAUAUUUAAGCUCAUUAUCUUUCUGUUUCAACUAGCCAUUGUUCCCAUCACUUCUGUUACCCUAUAACAUGCGGAAUUCAGCUAUUACCUCCUCAGAAUUCUGAAUUCCGACUGGCCUCAUGGAAUUCCCCGAAAAGGAAGAGCGAGCUCGUAUUGCUGCUCUUUGUAAUAGAUUGGGUCGGCUAUGGGCUGAGCAAGACAUCGACACAUGGGAUGAGGCGCCUCCCCU